GUUCAGUGGUAUUUUAACGGCCGCCGCAUAUUGACCGUGCAAAGGUAGCAUAAUCAUUAGUCUUUUAAUAGAGGGCUGGAAUGAAGGGUUUGACGAGGAAUUUACUGUCUCAUUUUAUUUGUUUUAAAAUUUAAUUUUUUAGUCAAAAAGCUAAAAUAUUAUUGGAAGACGAGAAGACCCUAUAGAGCUUUAUAUUAUGAUAUUAAAUAUUUUUAUAUUAAUGUAUUUAAGAUUUUGUUUUAUUGUGUUGGGGUGACAAAAAUAUAUAUAUAACUUUUUUAUUUAUUAACCAUUGAUUUAUGAUUAUUAGAUCCAUUAUUAUUGAUUACUAGACUAAGUUACCUUAGGGAUAACAGCGUAAUUUUCCUCCCCAGUUCAUAUUUACAGGAUGAGUUUGCGACCUCGAUGUUGGAUUAACAUAAUAAUUAGGUGUAGCCGCUUAAUUUAUGGGUCUGUUCGACCUUUAAAUUCUUACAUGAUCUGAG
rnacentral:rRNA from 1 species